CCACACACUGGAGUGUGGCCAGGAGUACACAGUGAAUUUGAUGUCCUUCAAUGGCAGCUGCGUCAGUCGUCCUUCAGAGUUAUAUUUCAGGGAAGUUCCAUGUGUACCCACUAACGUCGAAAAAAGGAGAAGCUGCAGCCAGAAUUUUGUGGACGUCAUGUGGCAAGCAAGUCGGGGUGCCAUAAACUACACUGCUACUGCUCUGGAUGCAGAUGGCGGUUACUUAAAGUGUACAUCCAAUGAGACAUCGUGCAGGCUGGUCGAUGUAAUGUGUGGACAUGUGUAUAAUAUCAGUGUGGUUGCUGUGGAUAACAUGUGCACCAGCAUGAAGAGCCGCACAUUGCAACUACAGAUAGAGCCCUGCCCACCCUCUCAGCUGACCGUCUCAGUGAACUGUAGCAGUAACUCUGCCAAGUUAGCCUGGCAGAGCAGCCCCAACGCAGUGUCUCAUACUGGCAAAGCCAUAACUGCAGAUGGUCAUAAUGUGACCUGUUCCACAAUGACAGAACUCAGUUGUAAUAUGGAGGGUCUGCAGUGUGGAAAGAUGUAUAACUUCACUGUGUCAGCCUCAGAUUAUUACUGUCAGAGUCCAGACAGCAAGCCAGUCAUCCAUACAACUGCCCCAUGUACUGUGCAGAAUAUGCUGACCACUCUUAACUGUACCACCAACAUACUGACCGUCAGCUGGACACCGGGAUCCAUGCCAGUGAACUACAGCACCACAGCGGUGACAACAAAUGGCACUACACUUCGCUGCGUCACGCAGAGUUCUAGCUGUACGAUGCCUGAGUUACAGUGUGGACAGCAGUACAGUGUGAGGGUCAAGCCCAUCAGCAGCACAUGUGAAGGACCCAGCAGCAUCCUG
ensembl:lncRNA